rnacentral:tRNA from 1 species
GCCUUGAAGGCUCAGUGGUCAGAGCGCUUGGUCUUGUAAACCAGGAGAGAGGGUUAGAACCCCUCUCAAGGCU